rnacentral:rRNA from 1 species
UGCAGCCGAGCGGUAGAGAUUCUUCGGAAUCUUGAGAGCGGCGUACGGGUGCGGAACACGUGUGCAACCUGCCUCAUUCUGGGGGAUAGCCUUUCGAAAGGAAGAUUAAUACCCCAUAAUAUAUUUUUCGGCAUCGAAAGAUAUUGAAAACUCCGGUGGAUAGAGAUGGGCACGCGCAAGAUUAGAUAGUUGGUGAGGUAACGGCUCACCAAGUCUGCGAUCUUUAGGGGGCCUGAGAGGGUGAUCCCCCACACUGGUACUGAGACACGGACCAGACUCCUACGGGAGGCAGCAGUGAGGAAUAUUGGACAAUGGGUGAGAGCCUGAUCCAGCCAUCCCGCGUGAAGGACGACGGCCCUAUGGGUUGUAAACUUCUUUUGUAUAGGGAUAAACCUACCCUCGUGAGGGUAGCUGAAGGUACUAUACGAAUAAGCACCGGCUAACUCCGUGCCAGCAGCCGCGGUAAUACGGAGGGUGCAAGCGUUAUCCGGAUUUAUUGGGUUUAAAGGGUCCGUAGGCGGAUCUGUAAGUCAGUGGUGAAAUCUCACAGCACUGUGAAACUGCCAUUGAUACUGCAGGUCUUGAGUGUUGUUGAAGUAGCUGGAAUAAGUAGUGUAGCGGUGAAAUGCAUAGAUAUUACUUAGAACACCAAUUGCGAAGGCAGGCAUCAUAGCAACAACUGACGCUGAUGGACGAAAGCGUGGGGAGCGAACAGGAUUAGAUACCCUGGUAGUCCACGCCGUAANCGAUGCUAACUCGUUUUUGGGUUUUCGGAUUCAGAGACUAAGCGAAAGUGAUAAGUUAGCCACCUGGGGAGUACGAACGCAAGUUUGAAACUCAANGGAAUUGACGGGGGCCCGCACAAGCGGUGGAUUAUGUGGUUUAAUUCGAUGAUACGCGAGGAACCUUACCAAGGCCAUAAUGGGAAAUGACAGGUUUAGAAAUAGACUUUUCUUCGGACAUUUUUCAAGGUGCUGCAUGGUUGUCGUCAGCUCGUGCCGUGAGGUGUUAGGCAUAGUCCUGCAACGAGCGCAACCCCUGUCACUAGUUGCCAUCAUUAAGUUGGGGGACUCUAGUGAGACUGC